GACGAACGCUGGCGGCGUGCUUAACACAUGCAAGACGAACGAAGUGGCGAACGGGUGAGUAACGCGUAAUCAACCUGCCCUUCAGAGGGGGACAACAGUUGGAAACGACUGCUAAUACCGCAUACGGAAGGAGGGGAUGGCGGGGGAUUAGCUAGUUGGAGGGGUAACGGCCCACCAAGGCGAUGAUCAGUAGCCGGUCGUAGCGGAGGAACGGCCCACUGGGGACUGAGACACGGCCCAUACUCCUACGGGAGGCAGCAGUGGGGAAUCUUCCGCAAUGGACGGAAGUCUGACGGAGCAACGCCGCGUGAGUGAUGACGGCCUUCGGGUUGUAAAGCUCUGUUAAUCGGGACGCGGUACCGGAAUAGAAAGCCACGGCUAACUACGUGCCAGCCGCCGCGGUAAUAC
rnacentral:rRNA from 1 species